GCUGGGUAUGGUGGCGCAUGCCCAUAAUCCCAGCUACUCAGGAGGCUAAGGCAGGAGGAUUGCUUGAGCCCAGGGGGUCGAGGCUGCAGUGGGCCAUGACUGCACUACUGCACUCUAGCCUGGGUGACAGAGUAAGACCCUGUCUCAA
rnacentral:SRP_RNA from 1 species